UACGAGGGGUGCGAGCGUUGCUCGGAAUUAUUGGGCGUAAAGGGUAGGUAGGUGGUUUCGUUUGUCUGGGGUGAAAGCCUUGAGCUUAACUCAAGAAGUGCCUCGGAAACGGCGAAACUCGAGUACUGGAGAGGGUCGUGGAAUUCCCGGUGUAGCGGUGAAAUGCGUAGAGAUCGGGAGGAACACCAGAGGCGAAGGCGGCGACCUGGACAGUAACUGACACUCAACUACGAAAGCGUGGGGAGCAAACAGG
rnacentral:rRNA from 1 species